UCAUACCAUAAGCUAAAGUUUUUGGGGGGCUGAACAAUGAGAUACAAACCUCCAGCAAGGAGGGUACGGAAACCGACGAAGGAGGGGUAGCCGGGCGGUUGGCCGUCACCGCUCUUUUACACAGGUUCCAAGAGGUGCUGCGACGUUACAUCGAGGACGAGAGACGCAGCGGUAAAUGCCCUCUGCCAAGAUACAGAUUGUCGGAAAUAUCAUUCGUAUUGAAAGCGGUAGCUACCCUGGUGGUGUCCUUGAAAAAGGCUCCCCCUAACAAGGUCGAUCGAUCGGUCUGGGAGCAACUGAUAGGCUUGUAUCCCUAUCUGGUCGAAUGUACCGUGGCCACGGCUUCGGGCCAGGUUUCACGUUCCCUGCGAGAAGCUCUGCUCCAGUACCACGAUCUGCUGCGAUCACCCACCAGUAAUUUACCAACGACAAACGGCGUUUGACCGGCAAACUCCUUUGGGAAUAACGAUCGUCGGGAUACCUAUUCGUAUUUGUACACGGAGUGAGUAUAAAUUCUUUACUUGAAUAUCGCCUAUCAACGAACAUUCCUAAAAGUGCGAAUUAGAAUACGAUGUUGAUUUUUAUCACACGGUUUGUUAA